CAGAGAGCUUGCUCUCGGGUGACGAGUGGCGGACGGGUGAGUAAUGUCUGGGAAACUGCCUGAUGGAGGGGGAUAACUACUGGAAACGGUAGCUAAUACCGCAUAACGUCGCAAGACCAAAGAGGGGGACCUUCGGGCCUCUUGCCAUCAGAUGUGCCCAGAUGGGAUUAGCUAGUAGGUGGGGUAACGGCUCACCUAGGCGACGAUCCCUAGCUGGUCUGAGAGGAUGACCAGCCACACUGGAACUGAGACACGGUCCAGACUCCUACGGGAGGCAGCAGUGGGGAAUAUUGCACAAUGGGCGCAAGCCUGAUGCAGCCAUGCCGCGUGUAUGAAGAAGGCCUUCGGGUUGUAAAGUACUUUCAGCGGGGAGGAAGGUGUUGUGGUUAAUAACCGCAGCAAUUGACGUUACCCGCAGAAGAAGCACCGGCUAACUCCGUGCCAGCAGCCGCGGUAAUACGGAGGGUGCAAGCGUUAAUCGGAAUUACUGGGCGUAAAGCGCACGCAGGCGGUCUGUCAAGUCGGAUGUG
rnacentral:rRNA from 1 species